rnacentral:rRNA from 1 species
GACGAAGGAUGCAAGCGUUAUCCGGAUUCAUUGGGUUUAAAGGGAGCGUAGGUGGUCUUAUAAGUCAGUGGUGAAAUCUCUGGGCUUAACCCAGAAAUUGCCAUUGAUACUGUAGGACUUGAGUAUAGUUGCCGUUGGCGGAAUAUGACAUGUAGUGGUGAAAUACAUAGAGAUGUCAUAGAACACCGAUUGCGAAGGCAGCUAACGAAACUAUAACUGACACUGAGGCUCGAAAGUGCGGGGAUCAGACAGG